GGGUUGUGAGGUUAAGCGACUAAGCGUACACGGUGGAUGCCCUGGCAGUCAGAGGCGAUGAAGGACGUGCUAAUCUGCGAAAAGCGUCGGUAAGGUGAUAUGAACCGUUAUAACCGGCGAUGUCCGAAUGGGGAAACCCAGUGUGAUUCGUCACACUAUCGUUAACUGAAUACAUAGGUUAACGAGGCGAACCGGGGGAACUGAAACAUCUAAGUACCCCGAGGAAAAGAAAUCAACCGAGAUUCCCCCAGUAGCGGCGAGCGAACGGGGAGCAGCCCAGAGUCUGAAUCAGCUUGUGUGUUAGUGGAACGGUCUGGAAAGUCCGACGGUACAGGGUGAUAGUCCCGUACACCAAAAUGCACAGGUUGUGAACUCGAAGAGUAGGGCGGGACACGUGGUAUCCUGUCUGAAUAUGGGGGGACCAUCCUCCAAGGCUAAAUACUCCUGACUGACCGAUAGUGAACCAGUACCGUGAGGGAAAGGCGAAAAGAACCCCGGCGAGGGGAGUGAAAAAGAACCUGAAACCGUGUACGUACAAGCAGUGGGAGCACCUUCGGGUGUGACUGCGUACCUUUUGUAUAAUGGGUCAGCGACUUAUAUUCUGUAGCAAGGUUAACCGUAUAGGGGAGCCGCAGGGAAACCGAGUCUUAACUGGGCGUUAAGUUGCAGGGUAUAGACCCGAAACCCGGUGAUCUAGCCAUGGGCAGGUUGAAGGUUGGGUAACACUAACUGGAGGACCGAACCGACUAAUGUUGAAAAAUUAGCGGAUGACUUGUGGCUGGGGGUGAAAGGCCAAUCAAACCGGGAGAUAGCUGGUUCUCCCCGAAAGCUAUUUAGGUAGCGCCUCGUGAACUCAUCUUCGGGGGUAGAGCACUGUUUCGGCUAGGGGGUCAUCCCGACUUACCAACCCGAUGCAAACUACGAAUACCGAAGAAUGUUAUCACGGGAGACACACGGCGGGUGCUAACGUCCGUCGUGAAGAGGGAAACAACCCAGACCGCCAGCUAAGGUCCCAAAGUCAUGGUUAAGUGGGAAACGAUGUGGGAAGGCACAGACAGCCAGGAUGUUGGCUUAGAAGCAGCCAUCAUUUAAAGAAAGCGUAAUAGCUCACUGGUCGAGUCGGCCUGCGCGGAAGAUGUAACGGGGCUAAACCAUGCACCGAAGCUGCGGCAGCGACACUAUGUGUUGUUGGGUAGGGGAGCGUUCUGUAAGCCUGCGAAGGUGUGCUGUGAGGCAUGCUGGAGGUAUCAGAAGUGCGAAUGCUGACAUAAGUAACGAUAAAGCGGGUGAAAAGCCCGCUCGCCGGAAGACCAAGGGUUCCUGUCCAACGUUAAUCGGGGCAGGGUGAGUCGACCCCUAAGGCGAGGCCGAAAGGCGUAGUCGAUGGGAAACAGGUUAAUAUUCCUGUACUUGGUGUUACUGCGAAGGGGGGACGGAGAAGGCUAUGUUAGCCGGGCGACGGUUGUCCCGGUUUAAGCAUGUAGGCUGAUUGUCCAGGCAAAUCCGGAUAAUCAAGGCUGAGGUGUGAUGACGAGGCACUACGGUGCUGAAGUAACAAAUGCCCUGCUUCCAGGAAAAGCCUCUAAGCAUCAGGUAACAUCAAAUCGUACCCCAAACCGACACAGGUGGUCAGGUAGAGAAUACCAAGGCGCUUGAGAGAACUCGGGUGAAGGAACUAGGCAAAAUGGUGCCGUAACUUCGGGAGAAGGCACGCUGGUGUGUAGGUGAAGUCCCUGCGGAUGGAGCUGAGACCAGUCGAAGAUACCAGCUGGCUGCAACUGUUUAUUAAAAACACAGCACUGUGCAAACACGAAAGUGGACGUAUACGGUGUGACGCCUGCCCGGUGCCGGAAGGUUAAUUGAUGGGGUUAUCCGUAAGGAGAAGCUCUUGAUCGAAGCCCCGGUAAACGGCGGCCGUAACUAUAACGGUCCUAAGGUAGCGAAAUUCCUUGUCGGGUAAGUUCCGACCUGCACGAAUGGCGUAAUGAUGGCCAGGCUGUCUCCACCCGAGACUCAGUGAAAUUGAACUCGCUGUGAAGAUGCAGUGUACCCGCGGCAAGACGGAAAGACCCCGUGAACCUUUACUAUAGCUUGACACUGAACAUUGAGCCUUGAUGUGUAGGAUAGGUGGGAGGCUUUGAAGCGUGGACGCCAGUCUGCGUGGAGCCAACCUUGAAAUACCACCCUUUAAUGUUUGAUGUUCUAACGUUGGCCCCUGACCGGGGUUGCGGACAGUGUCUGGUGGGUAGUUUGACUGGGGCGGUCUCCUCCCAAAGCGUAACGGAGGAGCACGAAGGUUAGCUAAUCCUGGUCGGACAUCAGGAGGUUAGUGCAAUGGCAUAAGCUAGCUUGACUGCGAGCGUGACGGCGCGAGCAGGUGCGAAAGCAGGUCAUAGUGAUCCGGUGGUUCUGAAUGGAAGGGCCAUCGCUCAACGGAUAAAAGGUACUCCGGGGAUAACAGGCUGAUACCGCCCAAGAGUUCAUAUCGACGGCGGUGUUUGGCACCUCGAUGUCGGCUCAUCACAUCCUGGGGCUGAAGUAGGUCCCAAGGGUAUGGCUGUUCGCCAUUUAAAGUGGUACGCGAGCUGGGUUUAGAACGUCGUGAGACAGUUCGGUCCCUAUCUGCCGUGGGCGCUGGAGAAUUGAGGGGGGCUGCUCCUAGUACGAGAGGACCGGAGUGGACGCAUCACUGGUGUUCGGGUUGUCAUGCCAAUGGCACUGCCCGGUAGCUAAAUGCGGAAGAGAUAAGUGCUGAAAGCAUCUAAGCACGAAACUUGCCCCGAGAUGAGUUCUCCCUGAGACUUUAAGUCUCCUGAAGGAACGUUAAAGACGAUGACGUUGAUAGGCCGGGUGUGUAAGCGCAGCGAUGCGUUGAGCUAACCGGUACUAAUGAACCGUGAGGCUUAACCUUACAACGCCGAAG
rnacentral:rRNA from 1 species